rnacentral:miRNA from 1 species
CGAGAGUAGAAGUCUAGUCACA